rnacentral:tRNA from 1 species
GACCACGUAGCUCAGUUGGAAGAGCAUUGGGCUAGUAUUCCAAAGGUCGUAGGUUCAAAUCCCACCGUGGCCG